GACGAACGCUGGCGGCGUGCCUAAUACAUGCAAGUUGAGCGCUGAAGGUUGGUACUUGUACCAACUGGAUGAGCAGCGAACGGGUGAGUAACGCGUGGGGAAUCUGCCUUUGAGCGGGGGACAACAUUUGGAAACGAAUGCUAAUACCGCAUAAAAACUUUAAACACAAGUUUUAAGUUUGAAAGAUGCAAUUGCAUCACUCAAAGAUGAUCCCGCGUUGUAUUAGCUAGUUGGUGAGGUAAAGGCUCACCAAGGCGAUGAUACAUAGCCGACCUGAGAGGGUGAUCGGCCACAUUGGGACAGAGACACGGCCCAAACUCCUACGGGAGGGAGCAGUAGGGAAUCUUCGGCAAUGGACGAAAGUCUGACCGAGAAACGCCGAGUGAGUGAAGAAGGUUUUCGGAUCGUAAAACUCUGUUGGUAGAGAAGAACGUUGGUGAGAGUGGAAAGCUCAUCAAGUGACGGUAACUACCCAGAAAGGGACGGCUAACUACGUG
rnacentral:rRNA from 1 species